AACCAGAAUAUAAGCAAUAGUGUGUAUGUAAGAAUGAACCAGUAGGCUUGACCUCUGCACAAAUAACCAGAACAUAAGCAACAUUAUAUUUGUAAGAAACCACUAGGAAUCAAAACAGAAAUCUAGUAACAGUUUGACAUGCAGAGUAUUAGCCAUUAAAAAUGCAACAAUAUAUUUGUAGGUUCUAACAUUUCAUCAUCUAUACAUCGACGACUGUUGUCUAACUGGUCCUAGCUCUCCAGUGAUCUGCAUAUGAGAAACAAAGAAUCAACUUCUGCGUCCCAAAUCAUAACCAGGAGUUUACAAUGAAUUGAAGGGCCAACACUUCUUUUAAUAGAUGGUCCAAACAGAAACUUGAAAGCAAGAUAACUUAUGAUCUAUUCUGUUAUAUGUAGUGCAAAAUAUGUUCUCUAAUCAAAUCAAGACUAACCAGCUGGUAUCUGACAUGAUUGAACCGACCAAAUAUCACACACAAAUAACGAGAACAUUUCAUCUUAUCCUCUAAAUGAGCAUCUCAUCCUUAUAAAGACUACCAUAUUCCUAGCUGUCUCGAACAAGUAUUCUUAUAGGUUCACCGAAUAUGUCGAGGUUCCAUGUUCUUGUUUUUUAGAUAUAUUUUGGUGACUAGCUGAACAAACAAGGCCUGUCAGAUUCAACAACCUGAAUAAAUGAUAGGUUUUUGUUAGAAAUACAUCUAGACAAGUACAAGUAAAGAUAUGUACUCUAAACUGAAACACUAAAUAGUUUUUAAACUAUUAAUAUCUCCAAUUUGAUAAAAACACUAAACAAUUUUAUUAUAUGUGUGUCAUCUGUAGAGAAAAAUCGAUAGCAUGCCUUACACACAACUAAUUAUUGCACCAAAUUUUAUAUGUGCAAGUGACAUGCAGGAACCUUUUGUAAAGGGAUACAAGCAAUUAUUGCACCAAAUUUUAUGUGCCCUUUUCUUUUUUUUAAGGCACCGAUAAUGUAGAAGACAAAAAGAUAAAAUGCUUAAUCUAUGGGCUAUGACCCUGCUCGAUACAGAUUCUCUACAAGUGUUUGCCUGAGAAGUUGUACAAAUAGAAGCGGAGUCAGAGUAGUGAAUAACUCGAAUUUAGUUUUUGCCUUUUAGUUAUAUAAGUAAUAAUGGUGAUGGAAAUAAGUACAUCGACAAGAAGUUUAUCGUUUUUAUCUUUGUUUUAGCUAUGCAGCUUUUACUUUCAACUCACUAACAUCUAGAUAUUAACUGACAGCAAAUUGGAAAGUCACCACUCACGAGCACAGCAUCGAGAACCCUGGCAGGCGCUCCCCACUGCUUGCAUAAGCAUCUUCACUUUUCAGAUCCAGCAAUUGUCCAUACUUGACGGUUGACACAACUUCUUCCAGAAUGCCUGCCAUGGGAGCAUUGUUUUGGUCCUCGACGUAUUCUGCUACAGAUGGAGCACACUGCACGCGACGACAUCUCUCGCCUGGCACGAGGCGGUGUCAGGGUGAACAGCGAUGGCGAACUGCGCAUCUCUUGUGUUUUUCUUUUAUCUGAACACAAUGAAUCUUUGACCAAAGGAAGAAACAAAUAGAGCCUAAAUCAAGAUGCCAACGCAGAUGCUCUCCAACGCCUCCUCAUCGAAGCUGUUGUGGCUCUCCUGCAGCGACGACGACUUUGACCGCAUCGCAACCACACUUACAACUCCCCGCAGAUCUACCGAACCCUACGAAAAUCAAGAACCCUACACGAGAGAGGAGAUGCGAAGGAUGGGGGACACGGCAAACUUACUGGCAAGAAAGUUUUGGCUACUGGAGAGGACAGAUGCCGCUAGGGAGAUUGCAGCGCCGCCGCUUACGUCGCCUGGCGCUCGUGUCUCGCCUCCGCACUUGCUGCGGGCCUGCGACUGAAGAGGAAAAGUUCCACGAGUCAGGAGUCGUG
rnacentral:lncRNA from 1 species